rnacentral:rRNA from 1 species
UACAGAGACUGCAAGCGUUAUUCGGAUUCACUGGGCGUAAAGCGUGCGCAGGCGGUUUUGUAAGCCAGAUGUGAAAUCCCCGGGCUUAACCUGGGAAUGGCAUUUGGAACUGCAAGGCUUGAGUGCGGCAGAGGAGACUGGAAUUCCUGGUGUAGCAGUGAAAUGCGUAGAUAUCAGGAGGAACACCGAUGGCGAAGGCAGGUCUCUGGGCUGACACUGACGCUCAUGCACGAAAGGCGUGGGGAGCAAACAGG